AGAGUUUGAUCCUGGCUCAGGAUGAACGCUGGCGGCGUGCCUAAUACAUGCAAGUCGAACGCUUCACUUCGGUGAAGAGUGGCGAACGGGUGAGUAAUACAUAAGUAACCUGCCCUCAUCAGGGGGACAACUGCUGGAAACGGCAGCUAAUACCGCAUGUAUAUGAACAUCGCAUGAUGAUCAUAUGAAAGUAGCUACGGCUAUGGAAGAGGAUGGACUUAUGGCGCAUUAGCUAGUUGGUGAGGUAACGGCCCACCAAGGCGACGAUGCGUAGCCGACCUGAGAGGGUGACCGGCCACACUGGGACUGAGACACGGCCCAGACUCCUACGGGAGGCAGCAGUAGGGAAUUUUCGGCAAUGGGCGAAAGCCUGACCGAGCAACGCCGCGUGAAGGAAGAAGGAAUUCGUUCUGUAAACUUCUGUCAUAGAGGAAGAAUGGUAUCGCCAGGGAAUGGGUGAUAUGUGACGGUACUCUAUAAGAAAGCCACGGCUAACUACGUGCCAGCAGCCGCGGUAAUACGUAGGUGGCGAGCGUUAUCCGGAAUUAUUGGGCGUAAAGAGGGAGCAGGCGGCACUAAGGGUCUGUGGUGAAAGCCCGAAGCUUAACUUCGGCGAGCCAUGGAAACCGUAGAGCUAGAGUGUGUGAGAGGAUCGUGGAAUUCCAUGUGUAGCGGUGAAAUGCGUAGAUAUAUGGAGGAACACCAGUGGCGAAGGCGACGAUCUGGCGCACAACUGACGCUCAGUCCCGAAAGCGUGGGGAGCAAAUAGGAUUAGAUACCCUAGUAGUCCCCGCCGUAAACGAUGAGUACUAAGUGUUGGGGGUCAGACCUUCAGGUGUGCCAGUUACCGCAUUUAGUAUUCCACCUGGGGGAGUACGGCCGCAAAGGUGAAAAUUCAAAGGAAUUGACGGGGGCCCGGCACAAGCAGUGGAAUAUGUGGUUUAAUUCGAAGCAACGCGAAGAACCUUACCAGGGCUUGACAUCCAACUAACGAAGCAGAGAUGCAUUAGGUGCCCUUCGGGGAAAGUUGAGACAGGUGGUGCAUGGUUGUCGUCAGCUCGUGUCGUGAGAUGUUGGGUUAAGUCCCGCAACGAGCGCAACCCCUAUUGUUAGUUGCUACGCAAGAGCACUCUAGCGAGACUGCCGUUGACAAAACGGAGGAAGGUGGGGACGACGUCAAAUCAUCAUGCCCCUUAUGUCCAGGGCUACACACGUGCUACAAUGGCGUAAACAAAGGGAAGCGACCCCGUGAGGGCAGGCAAAUCCCAAAAAUAACGUCUCAGUUCGGAUUGUAGUCUGCAACUCGACUACAUGAAGCUGGAAUCGCUAGUAAUCGCAGAUCAGAAUGCUGCGGUGAAUACAAUCCCGGGUCUUGCACACACCGCCCGUCA
rnacentral:rRNA from 1 species